rnacentral:misc_RNA from 1 species
CGAUUCCUCGUACGCCGUUUGGUUUUUCCAGUACGUCUUCGCCGCCACCGCCGCCACCAUUGUUUCUGGAGCGGUCGCCGAGCGAUGUGACUUUAUUGCCUACCUUGUGUAUAGUUCAGUGAUUACAGGCUUUAUCUACCCCGUGUUGACUCAUUGGGCGUGGUCCUCAGAAGGCUGGAUGAACCAGGGCUUCAUGCACGAUACGGGAGAUAACUCUACCGGGACAAUUACCAUUCAAUAUCAGGAUUUUGCUGGCAGUGGCGUGGUGCAUGUGUGUGGCGGUGUUGCGGCAUUUGUUGCUGCUACCGUGAUGGGUCCUAGGAUUGGACGAUUCGACAAAGAGACGGGUCAACCAGAGGAAAUCAAGGGACACUCUGUACCGCUGGCUGCUCUCGGAGGAUUCAUCCUGAUCUUUGGUUUCCUGGCUUUUAAUGGCUCAUCACAAGGAAGCAUCUCCAACCCAGGCGACGGUGCCGCUGUUGCCACAGCAAUUAAAAACACUGUCAUGUCAGCUACUUCCGGUGCUUUUACGACAAUGUUUAUGAAUAAGCUCCCUUGGUUUGGGGACCGGAAGUGGAGCUUUGCCACAACUCUUAAUGGUGCUUUAGCAGGAAUGGUUGCCAUCUGUGCCGGUUGUAACCAAAUGGAAACAUAUGCCGCCUUCCUGAUUGGGAUCGGAGGGGGCGUGUCCUAUAUGAUCACCACGUGGCUCGUUCUAUUCAAACUUAAAGUGGACGACCCUCUUGACGCAUGUGCAGUGCAUUAUGGGGGAGGAGUGUGGGGAGUAAUCUCGGUGGGAUUACUCUCUAGAGAUGUCGGGAUUCUGUAUAAAUGGAAUGCCGAGGCGGCACUGACGCUUGUUUGGCAGAUCACGAGUUUGGUGGCCAUCAUUGCGUGGACGGGCGCCCUCUGUUUCGUCAUGUUCUUCCUUUUGAAAAAGUUCAACCUCCUCAGAGUAUCGUUUGAGUGGGAAGUGAAAGGAUUGGACAUUCCAAAGCACGGAGAACCAGCUUACCCGGCCGAGGCUUACGGACACGGAUGGGGAGAAAAGGGGGACACCUUGUUUACAAUGGUUGGAAGGCCACCAGUAUUCCUUCCAAGUCCAUCAGACGUGGCUCCUCAAAUCUAUCCCUGGGUAGUGCGAGUGUGCAAUCUAAUGGCACAAAUAAAACCAAUCUUUGAAAUUCGAACUUACUUUAAAUGUAUAUUAUGCUAUUUUAUUGUUUAACUAAUAUGUAUAAAAUGCGAAAAUAUGUUAUCUCACUAUUCCAUAUAUCAUAUAAAAUCAUCUAUUGUUGUACUGCAUAAAUUCAAUAUUGU